rnacentral:rRNA from 1 species
UCGAGAAUUUUUCACAAUGGGCGCAAGCCUGAUGGAGCGACGCCGCGUGGGGGAUGAAGGCCUUCGGGUCGUAAACCCCUGUCAUUUGCGAACAAACCUUGUUAUUUAAAAGAUGACGAGCUGAUUGUAGCGAAAGAGGAAGGGACGGCUAACUCUGUGCCAGCAGCCGCGGUAAUACAGAGGUCCCAAGCGUUGUUCGGAUUCACUGGGCGUAAAGGGUGCGUAGGUGGUGAGGUAAGUCUGAUGUGAAAUCUCCGAGCUUAACUCGGAAAUGGCAUUGGAAACUACCUUGCUGGAGGGUCGGAGGGGGGACUGGAAUUCUCGGUGUAGCAGUGAAAUGCGUAGAUAUCGAGAGGAACACCAGUGGCGAAGGCGAGUCCCUGGACGACUCCUGACACUGAGGCACGAAAGCUAGGGGAGCAAACAG